rnacentral:rRNA from 1 species
AUUGAACGCUGGCGGCAGGCCUAACACAUGCAAGUCGAGCGGAUGAAGGGAGCUUGCUCCUGGAUUCAGCGGCGGACGGGUGAGUAAUGCCUAGGAAUCUGCCUGGUAGUGGGGGAUAACGUCCGGAAACGGGCGCUAAUACCGCAUACGUCCUGAGGGAGAAAGUGGGGGAUCUUCGGACCUCACGCUAUCAGAUGAGCCUAGGUCGGAUUAGCUAGUUGGUGGGGUAAAGGCCUACCAAGGCGACGAUCCGUAACUGGUCUGAGAGGAUGAUCAGUCACACUGGAACUGAGACACGGGCCAGACUCCUACGGGAGGCAGCAGUGGGGAAUAUUGGACGAUGGGCGAAAGCCUGAUCCAGCCAUGCCGCGUGUGAAGAAGGUCUUCGGAUUGUAAAGCACUUUAAGUUGGGAGGAAGGGCAGUAAGUUAAUACCUUGCUGUUUUGACGUUACCAACAGAAUAAGCACCGGCUAACUUCGUG